AUUGAACGCUGGCGGCAUGCCUUACACAUGCAAGUCGAACGGCAGCAUGUUCUAGCUUGCUAGAUUGAUGGCGAGUGGCGAACGGGUGAGUAAUACAUCGGAACGUGCCCUGUAGUGGGGGAUAACUAGUCGAAAGAUUAGCUAAUACCGCAUACGACCUGAGGGUGAAAGUGGGGGACCGCAAGGCCUCAUGCUAUAGGAGCGGCCGAUGUCUGAUUAGCUAGUUGGUGGGGUAAAGGCCCACCAAGGCGACGAUCAGUAGCUGGUCUGAGAGGACGAUCAGCCACACUGGGACUGAGACACGGCCCAGACUCCUACGGGAGGCAGCAGUGGGGAAUUUUGGACAAUGGGGGCAACCCUGAUCCAGCAAUGCCGCGUGUGUGAAGAAGGCCUUCGGGUUGUAAAGCACUUUUGUCCGGAAAGAAAUCGCACUUACUAAUAUUAGGUGUGGAUGACGGUACCGGAAGAAUAAGGACCGGCUAACUACGUG
rnacentral:rRNA from 1 species